rnacentral:tRNA from 1 species
CUGGAUAUAGUUCAGUUUGGUAGAACGCUUGAUUUGGGAUCAAGAGGUCACAGGUUCAAGUCCUGUUAUUCAGA